rfam:Otolemur garnettii contig188644, whole genome shotgun sequence.
UCCUCAGAGGAAUAAAUAGGCUUGUUGCUUUACAGUGUUAGUGACCCAUUCCCUUUGACGAUCCCUAGGUGGAGAUGGGGCAUGAGGAUCCUCCAGGGGAAAAGCUCACUACCACUGGGCAACAACCCUA